rnacentral:rRNA from 1 species
GACGAACGCUGGCGGCGUGCCUAACACAUGCAAGUCGAGCGAAUGAAGUUCCUUCGGGAAUGGAUGUAGCGGCGGACGGGUGAGUAACACGUGGCCAACCUGCCUCCUAGAGGGGAAUAGCCUUCCGAAAGGGAGAUUAAUCCCGCAUAAGAUUGUAGGACCGCAUGAUACAGCAAUUAAAGGAGCAAUCCGCUAUGAGAUGGGCCCGCGGCGCAUUAGCUAGUUGGUGAGGUAACGGCUCACCAAGGCGACGAUGCGUAGCGGACCUGAGAGGGUGAAAGGCCACAUUGGGACUGAGACACGGCCCAGACUCCUACGGGAGGCAGCAGUGGGGAAUAUUGCACAAUGGGGGAAACCCUGAUGCAGCAACGCCGCGUGAGUGAUGACGGCCUUCGGGUUGUAAAGCUCUGUCUUCAGGGACGAUAAUGACGGUACCUGAGGAGGAAGCCACGGCUAACUACGUGCCAGCCGCCGCGGUAA